rnacentral:rRNA from 1 species
CCUACGGGAGGCAGCAGUCGAGAAUCAUUCACAAUGGGGGAAACCCUGAUGGUGCGACGCCGCGUGGGGGAAUGAAGGUCUUCGGAUUGUAAACCCCUGUCAUGUGGGAGCAAAUUAAAAAGAUAGUACCACAAGAGGAAGAGACGGCUAACUCUGUGCCAGCAGCCGCGGUAAUACAGAGGUCUCAAGCGUUGUUCGGAAUCACUGGGCGUAAAGCGUGCGUAGGCUGUUUCGUAAGUCGUGUGUGAAAGGCGCGGGCUCAACCCGCGGACGGCACAUGAUACUGCGAGACUAGAGUAAUGGAGGGGGAGGCGGAAUUCUCGGUGUAGGAGUGAAAUGCGUAGAGAUCGAGAGGAACACUCGUGGCGAAGGCGAGUUCCUGGACCUUAACUGACGCUGAGGCGCGAAGGCGAGGGGAGCGAAAGGGAUUAGAUACCCCUGUAGUC